rnacentral:rRNA from 1 species
GAUGAACGCUGGCGGCGUGCUUAACACAUGCAAGUCGAACGGAAAGGCCCUGCUCUUGUGGGUUGCUCGAGUGGCGAACGGGUGAGUAACACGUGAGUAACCUGCCCUUGACUUUGGGAUAACUUCAGGAAACUUGGGCUCAUAUCGGAUAGGAGCUCCUGCUGCAUGUUGGGGGUUGGAAAGUUUCGGCGGUUGUGGAUGGACUCGCGGCUUAUCAGCUUGUUGGUGGGGUAGUGGCUUACCAAGGCUUUGACGGGUAGCCGGACUGAGAGGGUGACCGGCCACAUUGGGACUGAGAGAAGGCAGAGACUCCUACGGGAGGGAGCAGUGGGGAAUAUUGCACAGUGAGGGGAAGCCUGAUGCAGCAACGCCGCGUGCGGGAUGACGGACUUCGAGGGGUAAACAGCUUUCGCCUGUGACGAAGAGUGAGUGACGGUAAUGGGUAAAGAAGCACCGGCUAACUACGUG